ACGGGGCGCAGCAGUAGGGAAUCUUCGGCAAUGGGCGGAAGCCUGACCGAGCGACGCCGCGUGAGGGACGAAGGCCUUCGGGUUGUAAACCUCUGUCUGGGGGGACGAGAACGGACGGUACCCCCGGAGGAAGCCCCGGCUAACUACGUGCCAGCAGCCGCGGUAAUACGUAGGGGGCGAGCGUUGUCCGGAAUUACUGGGCGUAAAGGGCGUGCAGGCGGUCAUGCAAGUCGGUUGUGAAAGUCUAGGGCUUAACUCUAGGAUGUCGGCCGAAACUGUAUGACUUGAGGGCAAGAGAGGGAGGCGGAAUUCCCGGUGUAGCGGUGAAAUGCGUAGACAUCGGGAGGAACACCAGUGGCGAAGGCGGCUUCCUGGAUUGCACCUGACGCUGAGGCGCGAAAGCUGGGGGAGCGAACGGGAUUAGAUACCCCGGUAGUCCCAGCUGUAAACGAUGGAUGCUAGGUGUAGGGGGUAUCGACCCCUUCUGUGCCGCAGUUAACGCAUUAAGCAUCCCGCCUGGGGAGUACGGCCGCAAGGCUGAAACUCAAAGGAAUUGGCGGGGGAGCACA
rnacentral:rRNA from 1 species